rnacentral:misc_RNA from 1 species
UUUCCGUAGGUGAACCUGCGGAAGGAUCAUUCAUAAUAAAGUGUUUUAUGGCACUUUUUAAAAAUCCAUAUCCACCUUGUGUGCAAUGUUAGAUCUCGUCAAUCUUGGCGAGAUUUGUAUACAUCAACUCAUUCUUUAACUAAUUUGUCUGAAAAAUAUUAUGAAUACUUAAUUCAAAAUACAACUUUCAACAACGGAUCUCUUGGCUCUC